rnacentral:misc_RNA from 1 species
AGGUGGUCUGCUCCUAUUAUGAGUUAGGGACACUCUUGAAAUUAGAAUUUUUCGGCAGACACUGUUCACAUGAAAUAGUAUCAGAAUCUAAACCAAACUUCUCUGCAGAACAUGUGGGUUUAAAAUUAAAAACAGUGGAAGAUAGUUUUUGAUGAUUUUAGUGGCAUGCUAUCUCUUGGGACGUUAUCGGUGUCAUCCCUCAACAUCCAGAUCUUCAAUGCCAGUAGAAAGAGUUUUGCCCACCGCUUAUUGGUCCCCUUGGGUUCAGUUUUUGAUUCACCACCUCGGCUCUGAGAUCCUUCUCCUUGCUGCACUUUGGGCCCUUUUUUCAGUAGGCUUCGGCCGUGUUGAUUCUUCCGUGGCUGCUCUUUUUCUAUUUAAAAAUUAUCUUCUCCUCUUGAUUUUGCUAGGUUAUGGAGGAUGGGACGGCGGCGCUUCUCCUCAACCCGUUUCUUCCUCAAUAAGUCAUAUCUUCUUCAACGCGUAGGGUUACUUAACU